GACGAACGCUGGCGGCGUGCCUAAUACAUGCAAGUCGAGCGGAACUGGGGGAGCUUGCUCCUUCCAGUUUAGCGGCGGACGGGUGAGUAACACGUGGGCAACCUGCCCUGCAGAUCGGGAUAACUCCGGGAAACCGGUGCUAAUACCGAAUAGUUUGGCGCCUCUCCUGAGGCGCUACGGAAAGACGGUUUCGGCUGUCACUGCAGGAUGGGCCCGCGGCGCAUUAGCUAGUUGGUGGGGUAACGGCCCACCAAGGCGAUGAGGCGUAGCCGACCUGAGAGGGUGACCGGCCACACUGGGACUGAGACACGGCCCAGACUCCUACGGGAGGCAGCAGUAGGGAAUCUUCCGCAAUGGACGCAAGUCUGACGGAGCAACGCCGCGUGAGUGACGAAGGUUUUCGGAUCGUAAAACUCUGUUGUGAGGGAAGAACACGUACCAACUAACUAUUGGUACCUUGACGGUACCUCACCAGGAAGCCACGGCUAACUACGUGCCAGCCGCCGCCGUAAGUC
rnacentral:rRNA from 1 species